rnacentral:rRNA from 1 species
GGCCCCGCACAAGCGGCGGAGCAUGCGGAUUAAUUCGAUGCAACGCGAAGAACCUUACCUGGGUUUGACAUAUACCGGAAACGUCUAGAGAUAGGCGCCCCCUUGUGGUCGGUAUACAGGUGGUGCAUGGCUGUCGUCAGCUCGUGUCGUGAGAUGUUGGGUUAAGUCCCGCAACGAGCGCAACCCUCGUCCUAUGUUGCCAGCGGAUAAUGCCGGGGACUCGUAGGAUACUGCCGGGGUCAACUCGGAGGAAGGUGGGGAUGACGUCAAGUCUUCAUGCCCCUUAUGUCCAGGGCUUCACGCAUGCUACAAUGGCCGGUACAGAGGGCUGCAAUCCCGCAAGGGUGAGCGAAUCCCAAAAAGCCGGUCUCAGUUCGGAUUGGGGUCUGCAACUCGACCCCAUGAAGUCGGAGUCGCUAGUAAUCGCAGAUCAGCAACGCUGCGGUGAAUACGUUCCCGGGGCUUGUACACACCGCCCGUCAAGUCAUGAAAGUCGGUAACACCCGAAGCCAGUGGCCCAACCGUAAGGAGGGAGCUGUCGAAGGUGGGACCGGUAAUUAGGACUAAGUCGUAACAAGGUAGCCGUACCGGAAGGUGCGGCU